UACGGGGGGAGCAAGCGUUGUUCGGAUUUACUGGGCGUAAAGGGCGCGUAGGCGGCCACCGCAAGUCGGUUGUGAAAUCUCCGGGCUUAACCCGGAAAGGUCAGCCGAUACUACGGGGCUAGAGUGCAGAAGGGGCAACUGGAAUUCUCGGUGUAGCGGUGAAAUGCGUAGAUAUCGAGAGGAACACCUGCGGCGAAGGCGGGUUGCUGGGCUGACACUGACGCUGAUGCGCGAAAGCUAGGGGAGCGAACGGG
rnacentral:rRNA from 1 species